rnacentral:rRNA from 1 species
AUUGAACGCUGGCGGCAUGCUUUACACAUGCAAGUCGGACGGCAGCACAGAGAAGCUUGCUUCUUGGGUGGCGAGUGGCGAACGGGUGAGUAACGCAUCGGAACGUACCGAGUAGUGGGGGAUAACUGUCCGAAAGGAUGGCUAAUACCGCAUACGCUUUGAGAAGGAAAGCGGGGGAUCUUCGGACCUCGCGCUAUUCGAGCGGCCGAUGUCUGAUUAGCUAGUUGGUGGGGUAAAGGCCUACCAAGGCGACGAUCAGUAGCGGGUCUGAGAGGAUGAUCCGCCACACUGGGACUGAGACACGGCCCAGACUCCUACGGGAGGCAGCAGUGGGGAAUUUUGGACAAUGGGCGCAAGCCUGAUCCAGCCAUGCCGCGUGUCUGAAGAAGGCCUUCGGGUUGUAAAGGACUUUUGUCAGGGAAGAAAAGCUUUGGGUUAAUACCCUGGAGUGAUGACGGUACCUGAAGAAUAAGCACCGGCUAACUACGUGCCAGCAGCCGCGGUAAUACGUAGGGUGCGAGCGUUAAUCGGAAUUACUGGGCGUAAAGCGAGCGCAGACGGUUUGUUAGCAGGAUGUGAAAUCCCCGGGCUCAACCUGGGAACUGCGUUCUGAACUGGCAGGCUAGAGUAUGUCAGAGGGGGGUAGAAUUCCACGUGUAGCAGUGAAAUGCGUAGAGAUGUGGAGGAAUACCGAUGGCGAAGGCAGCCCCCUGGGAUAAUACUGACGUUCAUGCUCGAAAGCGUGGGUAGCAAACAGGAUUAGAUACCCUGGUAGUCCACGCCCUAAACGAUGUCAAUUAGCUGUUGGGGCACUUGAUGCCUUAGUAGCGUAGCUAACGCGUGAAAUUGACCGCCUGGGGAGUACGGUCGCAAGAUUAAAACUCAAAGGAAUUGACGGGGACCCGCACAAGCGGUGGAUGAUGUGGAUUAAUUCGAUGCAACGCGAAGAACCUUACCUGGUCUUGACAUGUACGGAAUCCUCCAGAGACGGAGGAGUGCCUUCGGGAGCCGUAACACAGGUGCUGCAUGGCUGUCGUCAGCUCGUGUCGUGAGAUGUUGGGUUAAGUCCCGCAACGAGCGCAACCCUUGUCAUUAGUUGCCAUCAUUUAGUUGGGCACUCUAAUGAGACUGCCGGUGACAAACCGGAGGAAGGUGGGGAUGACGUCAAGUCCUCAUGGCCCUUAUGACCAGGGCUUCACACGUCAUACAAUGGUCGGUACAGAGGGUAGCCAAGCCGCGAGGUGGAGCCAAUCCCAAAAAACCGAUCGUAGUCCGGAUUGCACUCUGCAACUCGAGUGCAUGAAGUCGGAAUCGCUAGUAAUCGCAGGUCAGCAUACUGCGGUGAAUACGUUCCCGGGUCU